rnacentral:rRNA from 1 species
GACGAACGCUGGCGGCGUGCUUAACACAUGCAAGUCGAACGAGGCUCCUUCUUCGGUUGGGGUUCUAGUGGCGAACGGGUGAGUAACACGUGGGCAACCUGCCCCUGGCUCUGGGAUAACUCCAAGAAAUUGGGGCUAAUACCGGAUAUGACCGCUGAUCGCAUGGUCUGGUGGUGGAAAGAUUUAUCGGCUGGGGAUGGGGCCCGCGGCCUAUCAGCUUGUUGGUGGGGUAGUGGCCACCAAGGCGACGACGGGUAGCCGGCCUGAGAGGGUGACCGGCCACACUGGGACUGAGACACGGCCCAGACUCCUACGGGAGGCAGCAGUGGGGAAUAUUGCGCAAUGGGCGAAAGCCUGACGCAGCGACGCCGCGUGGGGAUGACGGCCU